UCCAUAGCAUCAACGCCUUCCUCUUGCAGGAACUGCUGACACACUCUAGCCACAUGAGGUCUAGCAUUGUCUUCCAUUAGCCUGCUGGACAACCACUCCUCAGAGUUCAAGUCAGUCCCUGAACCCUGAAUCAACCCCUAGCCUGUCCCUGCCCCAUAGGAACGUGUAUAUCGGAGAGGAUUGCAUGGGUUUAAGUAAUAUGGUGACAAUUGGAGCUUACCACCAUAUUGCUUACACCUGUCCAAUCCACAUAAAUGUAUGCAAGUGCCAUGGGGGUAGGGGCUAGUGGUUGAUUUUGAAUCAGAGAGUGCCCUCACCUUUGAAAAAUCACUGAGAAAUAUCAUUUAAUUUUUUUGUCACAUAUGUCCUAUUUUAAACAAACUCUGAAAAAAACGCUCUUGAACAUGUAUGUAAUGAAUAUGACUCUUCUAUUAAACUCUCUGUGGAUUCUGUAUGUAGUGUGACCCGGAACUAUCUGGACUGGCUGACCUCAAUGCCCUGGGGAACUAAUAGUGAGGAGAACCUAGAGCUGAAACGGGCUGAAGAGGUGCUGGAGGAGGACCAUUAUGGGAUGGACGACGUCAAGAAACACAUUCUGUGACCCAGCUGAGAGGCUCACCCCAGGGAAAGAUUCUGUGUUUCUGUAUUAUUAUUUGACCAUGCUGGUCAUUUAUGAACAUUUGAACAUCUUGGCCAUGUUCUGUUAUAAUCUCCACCCGGCACAGCCAGAAGAGGACUGGCCACCCCUCAUAGCCUGGUUCCUCUCUAGGUUUCUUCCUAGGUUUAGCUACUGUUCAUUGCUCAAUAAAACAAUUCUGUCACCAUUUGAAGUACUAUACAAUACAGAAAACCCACUCGUCCUUAUUGAUGAGGUUGACAAGAUAGGUUGUGGUUACCAAGGCGACCCAUCCUCAGCUCUGCUGGAGUUCAUGGACCCGGAACAGAACUUCAACUUUCUGGAUCACAACCUAGAUGUGCCUGUGGUCCUGUCCAAUGUUCUGUUUAUCUGCACUGUUAAUGUGACUGACACCAUCACAUAGCCCCUGAGAGACCGCAUGGAGAUGAUCAACAUGUAUGGAUACGUGGCCCAGGAAAAACUAGUCAUCACUGAGGGUGCUACUCCCAAGGAUGGGCCCAGUGCCGGCUGCACCAUCGUUGCGGCUCUGCUGUCCCUGGCGACCAACACGCCAGUGCGAGAGAAUGUGGCCAUGACGGGAGGUGUCCCUGACCAGAAAGAUCCUGCCUGUGGGAGGCAUCAAGGAGAAGACUAAUUGCAACCAGGUGUGACCUGCAUGAUUUUUCCAGCUUGAGAACAAGGACUUCAUCAGAGGGCCUGGAGGUUCAUUACACCAAGAUGUACCGCAUUGUCUUUCCACAACAAUGAACACCGAAUCAUAUUAAGCUGAGACUGGCGCCUGAGCAGCUCCAAGGGAUGGAUAAUGGUCUACAUUCACAGUAAUGGGUUUUAGGGCAUCCUGAACUAUGAAACCAGAUUUUCUGAUGAGUGAUUUGUUAAGUACAUUCACUUGCUGUUUAACGCCCGACAGCUGUUUUUGAGUUGUACAGCUGAUCAGUUGGACAAGACAGGGAACAGUGGUCUGUUCAGGGGGGUAAAACAAAGAACGCUUGAUAGUAAUGUAUGUAGAACAGGUACUGUCUCAUAUAGAAUAGGCAAGGAUCAGCUCUAAGUUGCAUUUUUAUCAGCAAUGUUCAAUCCCCUGAUGUGUUGAAGUACAUUAGGCCUCAGAAGGGGAUGCGUUGCGCUGCCAGCUUUACAACAAUAAUAUGAAGAUACCCAAAUUACCACUGUUAGUCAUGUUGCUGCUAUGCAGCCAAGACUUAGGAAUUUUUUUAUUUACCAAAGAUGUAAGUUGCAUUUAAUCUGUUGAAACACAAACUUUAGACAUUUUGAACACAAUCCUUUGUGCCCAGUGGUUUCAUAACAUAUCGUUGACAAUUUCUGCAGAAAGAACAGUCUGCCGGUAACUGUUGUUUAUUAUUGCCUAUCCCAUCACCUUUGGCAUGUCUAACAAUGCAUGCGACUGUACUACUAGAAAGUACACUACCCAGGCGAUUACACUCAGAUUUUAAUACAAGUAAAUGUCUUAUUUAGACACAGACGUGCCCAGAGACAUCUGAAGAGCUCCACUCCAAUGUCUGCAGGCAUCUCACCCUAGUAAACUUGAAAAGACAUGCAGCCUACAAG